UGAUAAUACAUCAACCACGCCUUACAACUCGCCGCACCCCACUUAACCCCAUCGAGCCCAUCCCCUAAACCGGGCCUCAACGGCGCAAUGCACGACUCAACCACUGCUCGAUAAAGCUCGGGCGCCAACUCCCCCCUCACCACCCCAGGCGCAACCACUAACGCUUGCAAAAAAUGAAGCGCAACUUGCACCUCAUCCCCCUUCACUUUCCAUAACAAACACAAAUAAAAAUACGCGCAACACACCAAAUACUCGUUCGAUACCCCACCCGUCGUCCCAUUUUCAUUCAAUGACGCGGGCGCUUGAAGCGCUCUCUCAGAUGUUUUCACAAACUUUUGGUUUCUCGACUCUAUUGCGUCCUCUACGUUCUGAAUACCCCAGUAGAGGUUGGAGAGAAUUGCCUGCUCAGAAAAACCGAACGAGUUGUUGAGAUUAGAGGCGCAUUUUGCGUGUAGGAGUUUUCGUGAUUUGGGAUUGGAGAUGAGUGUGGUUAUGUGUGAUGAGGUUGAGGAGGAUGAAGAAGAUGAGGUGGAAGCCAUUGGAGUGAGUGUGGAUUAGAUAAGAGGAAUGUUAUGAAGAAGAAGAAGAAGAAGAAGAAGUAACAUGUGUUGUUGUGAGCCAGACUACAAAAUUUAUUGGUCCCUAUGUUGCUUCAGAGAAGAGGUGAUAGUGAUACAGACAAAUUCUGAUAUAAAUAUGGAUGGAUUAUGCAACUUUUUUUUUCUUUUGGGUACUUUUUAACUUAUUUUGUAAACUAUAGUUAAUAAUGUUUAAUCGUGUCGGGUUGGUGGUUGGUUGAUGGGCGGGUUUGGGUUGAUGGUUAAAAUAAGGAAUGCAAAUGAUAUUUAUCUGUAACAAAAACAUCAAUCAUCAACCGUGCACAUU
rnacentral:lncRNA from 1 species